rnacentral:sRNA from 1 species
AGCAGCCGCGGUAAUUCCAGCUCCAAUAGCGUAUAUUAAAGUUGUUGCAGUUAAAAAGCUCGUAGUUGAAUUUCGGGAUCAAUAUAUCGGUCGUGCCAUCGGUACGUACUGGUAUCACUGGUUUCUCCUUUCUGACGAACCAUGAUGUCAUUAAUUUGGUGUUAUGGGAAGUUAGGACUGUUACUUUGAAAAAAUUAGAGUGUUUAAAGCAGGCUUUAGCUUGAAUACAUUAGCAUGGAAUAAUGAAAUAGGACGUUCGAACCUAUUUUGUUGGUUUCUAGGAUCAACGUAAUGAUUAAUAGGGAUAGUUGGGGGCAUUAGUAUUCAAUUGUCAGAGGUGAAAUUCUUGGAUUUAUUGAAGACUAACUACUGCGAAAGCAUUUGCCAAGGAUGUUUUCAUUAAUCAAGAACGAAAGUUAGGGGAUCGAAGACGAUCAGAUACCGUCGUAGUCUUAACCAUAAACUAUGCCGACUAGGGAUCGGAUGAUGUAAUUUUUAAUGA